ACGUAAAUGUCAAUGGUUGCUACUGUUAUUGCAUUGUCAUCCCUAUCUCUCCAUCCCAGGGUGUCUCUAGACAGGGGAUGGGGAAUGGAGCUGAGACUGAGGAAUGUCUUGGAGGAGACUCUCUCCUUCAAUGCUGAGUUCGCCAACCCAGGCCUGCUGGUCAGAGCCAAAGGAUCAAGUAACUCCUUCCUCCCAAGUUGGAGCAGGACUCUAUCUCUCUCCCUCUCCUGGAUGGAGGAAGCAGUUUCUCAGGAACUCUCCUGGUGUUGGAGAGCCAAUCUGUGGAGGGGCUAAGUCUCUUCUCUUGUCAGCAGGAAGGUCACCAAAGUUCCAGGCCUGCUGCAAAAAGGGUCCAGCAGCAAAAGUGUUGAGUUGAAGCGAUUUGCCUGGCGGUUGAAGUGAGAUGCCCCAGAGCUCCCGGACUCUGUCACCACCCAGGCCUGUCAGUUUCCACUUUUCCCUCUGUCCAUCUCUUCUAAUGCCUUGGCUUUGGACCCAGAUGGAAGUCUACAGGCAGUGAAUUAUCCAGGAACAUAAGAAAUGGGGCACUUGCCAAAUGCCUCUGAGGCUGAUUAUGCACCUAGCUCCAACCCUAAUCUCUUGGGAAGUCGGGUGCCUUAGAUGAGCCCUGGAAGAUCCUAGAGGUGAUGAGAAAGACCUCCCUGAAGGACAACCAGCUCCCAGACCCUCACUUACACUAUAGCUUCUAUACAGAUAAGGAGUUCAGUUCCUGGGGCUCAGCUGGGUGACCUCAGUAAACAAUUGGGGAUUUAUUUAUGUGUGGCAGCCUCUAAGGUGACUAAAUUUUUCUUUUUCUGAACUAGGUUGUAUAGAAGGUAAUAGCAGUGACCAGACAGUCCAGAGAAUUCUGCCCAGUUGCAAGAUACAAUAAAAAUGUAAAUAAACAUUUUACCUUGUGAAGG
rnacentral:lncRNA from 1 species